GACGAACGCUGGCGGCGUGCUUAACACAUGCAAGUCGAACGGAAAGGCCCUGCUUGCAGGGUGCUCGAGUGGCGAACGGGUGAGUAACACGUGGGUGAUCUGCCCCUUACUUUGGGAUAAGCCUGGGAAACUGGGUCUAAUACUGGAUAGGACCAUGCUGUAGGUGGCGUGGUGGAAAGAUUAGUUUCGGUAAGGGAUGAGCUCGCGGCCUAUCAGCUUGUUGGUGGGGUAAUGGCCUACCAAGGCGUCGACGGGUAGCCGGCCUGAGAGGGUGGACGGCCACAUUGGGACUGAGAUACGGCCCAGACUCCUACGGGAGGCAGCAGUGGGGAAUAUUGCACAAUGGGCGCAAGCCGGAUGCAGCGACGCCGCGUGGGGGAUGACGGCCUUCGGGUUGUAAACUCCUUUCAGCCAUGACGAAGCCCUUGUGGUGACGGUAGUGGUAGAAGAAGCACCGGCUAACUACGUG
rnacentral:rRNA from 1 species